UCAUGACUAUGUGAUGCCAUCUUGCUACGAAAAUAGUGUCGCAUGAGUUGUAUGAUACGGAAUAUUAUUGUCUUACUUUGAUAUACAAAUACGGCGUUAUUUUGUAUUAUUCGUAUUAGACUAGAAACGAACACUGUUCAGAGUAUCGUUCUCCGUGAGCGUUGUGUUUACUGGUUCAUUCAUUGAUCCUAACAGUCACAUUUCUUUUUCUGAACGAGGAGCGUGGUGGCGCUAACAAAGGAAUAUCUGGAUCCGAGCAGUUGUUCAUUGGGAAGGGGCGUGGUCGUUCCGCGGUCCAACCAAUGAUAUUGAUCCUUCACAGCCCGGACUUGAUUGCUAUUGGUUCACUAUAGACAGUCAGUCUUUGAAGACAGGAUAACAGUCGAAGAUACCCCCACCAGAACAAUUCGAUCAAAACAAUUCUUUCACGAUGGAAGAAUCGCCACAAAUUACAUUUACUUACCAACAGCUCGACUCAGGAGAGAUGGCCGAGAUGUACAUUCGCGUCGCGGAGGAGGAGAACGAGGAGCCGAUGGAGAUCCCGUCGGAGGACGACGGCACGGUGCUGCUGUCCACGGUGGCCGCUCAGUUUCCAGGGGCUUGUGGCCUGCGCUUCCGGAGCCCGGUGUCUCAGUGUAUGAGGGGGGUUCGCUUGGUGGAAGGAAUCCUGCACGCCCCCGAGAACGGCUGGGGAAACCUGGUCUAUGUGGUCAAUUACCCCAAGGAAACGGCUCUGCCAGAUAAUAAGAGGAAGAUGGAUGAGAUUGAUGCUUCUUCUGCAACAAAGAUCAAGAGAGGAGAUCAGAAGACUUCAGAUCUGAUUGUGUUGGGUCUGCCAUGGAAAACUACAGAACAAGACUUAAAAGAAUACUUCAGUACGUUUGGAGAAGUCAUCAUGGUGCAGGUCAAGCGGGACGUAAAGACGGGAAAUUCAAAGGGGUUUGGGUUUGUAAGGUUUGGUGACUGGGAGACUCAGGGUAAGGUGAUGUCGCAGCGGCACAUGAUUGACGGCAGGUGGUGUGACUGCAAACUACCCAACUCUAAGCAAGGUCCAGAUGAACCAAUGAGGAGCAGGAAAGUAUUUGUGGGCCGUUGCACAGAGGACAUGAGCGCUGAUGAGCUCCGUCAGUUCUUCAUGCAAUAUGGGGAGGUCACAGAUGUCUUCAUACCUAAACCAUUCAGAGCGUUCGCUUUCGUCACCUUUGCAGAUGACCAGGUUGCCGCUUCCCUGUGUGGAGAAGAUCUGAUCAUCAAGGGCAUCAGCGUGCACAUCUCCAAUGCUGAGCCAAAACACAACAACACUAGGCAGAUGAUGGAGCGGGCAGGGCGCUUUGGGAAUGGGUUCGGAGGUCAGGGUUUUGGAGCCAACCGCAGUGGCAUGGGUGGUAGUAGCUCCAGCAGCUUGGGAAAUUUCAACAAUUUCAAUCUCAACCCAGCCAUGAUGGCUGCCGCCCAGGCCGCCCUGCAGAGCAGUUGGGGUAUGAUGGGAAUGUUAGCACAGCAGAAUCAGUCAGGUGCGUCUGGCACUAGCACGAGCGGCACUAGCGCCCCUCGGGACCAGCCCCAAGCGUACAGCUCAGGGAACAGCAACUACAGCAGCUCGGCUGCUCUCGGCUGGGGCUCCGGCUCGAACUCCACCACAGGUGGUAGUGGGUUUAACUCCAGCUUUGGCUCUGGUAUGGAGUCUAAGUCGUCAGGGUGGGGUAUGUAAAUUGGUUUGUGUUUGAAGUGUUGUAUUUCUAGCGCGUUUGGUAAGUAUUUUCCGAGAGACUUAUCUUGUCACGUGUGUUUGGGAGCGGGGAUGGGUGAAAAGGGAGACAGGGGGGCAAAAAAAGACGAAUGUUUUUUACUUUGAAUGGAAUUUAAAUUAGUUUAGAGUGAGAUGUUAACCAAGGAGCUACGUUAAUGUACCAUCUUUGGAAUUAUGUUUUUUUCCCCCCCAAUGUUGUAUUGUCUUGGUCGAUGCAAACUAAGCAUUUCAACUGGAUUCUUGUAAUGCAUGCUGUUCAAUCUGUGGAUGUCUGAAAAUGCAUGAGAAUUGCAUAACCCUUAAAGUACAUUUAUCAUUAUUUAAAGACAUUUGCAUUGGAAAGAAUCUGGUUGAAACCUGAACAUAUUGUAAAUUGAGCUUUAUGAUUCAGUCCAGUUUUAUGGAAACCCUUUAAAACAAGCCUUCAUCAAAAUCUCUUCUGCAGUUGACAUCUGUGGGGUUUGCCAGGGAAGAGCGCCCUCUAUGGCAGCACAGUGUGGCUGAGGUCAUUAUGUCACCUUCCUCCCCAUGUCUAUAUGCUCUCAUCGCACGGCUCGAUGACACGGGGCCUGGAAUAUGGCUGGUCGCAACUGAACCCUAGGCGGGAAGUCCGUUUGGGGAUGGAGGAAGAUGAUGGAGGAUGCUGUGGUUCUGCAUCUCUGGUUACGGCAAUGGACACGGUAGACCGUAGCAGAAUUUGAUAGGUGCUUCCAGAUGAGGUGUUAACUCAAAACACUUCAAGCAUAAUAACAUUUCUAUCUGAAAAGCUGAGAUGGUAUUAGGCUUGAUUGUGUUUGGUUUUGAGAAAGCAGUUUGUUGUAUUCUAAUGCAGGCAUAGGUUUUUCAGGUCCAUGUUUUUUUUUUUUAAAUGUUUGAAUUAAAAUAUUUUAGAGCAUCUGUAUUGUUUCACAGAGUUUCAUAUUCCCAAGAAAGUCGUGUUUAUAGGAAUCUUUAUUACAAUAAAACACAAAUGAACUCCCUGAGUAUAAAAACAUUAUUGGUGUUAAGUAUUUAAUGUGAUUUAUGUACAAAUAUUUGCACAGCUGUUUUAUUACAUGCAAAAAACAAGUACUUUUGUGCAACUUAAAAAAAAAUGUGAAUUUCGUACAUUUCUUUUGAUCAGUCUUCAACCUCGUUCUCCUCCUCAGCUUCCAUGUCUUUACUCUUCCUCUUGGCAGCGUUCUUCUUUCGUUUCUCCUUCAAUUCUUGGUUGUUCAAAGCCAGUUCUUCACUUUUCUUCGUAAUGUAGUUGUACUGUAAGGAUAAAGCAAGUGCACAGUA